rnacentral:rRNA from 1 species
GUGCGAUUGACGCUGAGGCUCGAAAGUGCGGGUAUCAAACAGGAUUAGAUACCCUGGUAGUCCGCACUGUAAACGAUGGAUGCUCGUUCUGGGCGACAGACAGUCCGGGACCAAGGGAAACCAUUAAGCAUCCCACCUGGGGAGUACGCCGGCAACGGUGAAACUCAGAGGAAUUGACGGGGGCCCGCACAAGCGGAGGAACAUGUGGUUUAAUUCGAUGAUACGCGAGGAACCUUACCCGGGCUUGAACUGCACUAGACGAAUGUAGAGAUACAUUUUCCCUUCGGGGCUGGUGUGGAGGUGCUGCAUGGUUGUCGUCAGCUCGUGCCGUGAGGUGUCGGCUUAAGUGCCAUAACGAGCGCAACCCUUGCUGCCAGUUGCCAUCAUGUAGUGGUGGGCACUCUGGCGGGACUGCCAUCGCAAGAUGUGAGGAAGGUGGGGAUGACGUCAAAUCAGCACGGCCCUUACGUCCGGGGCUACACACGUGUUACAAUGGGGGGCACAGCGCGCCGCUACCCGGUGACGGGAUGCGAAUCGUGAAAUCCCCUCUCAGUUCGGACUGGAGUCUGCAACCCGACUCCACGAAGCUGGAUUCGCUAGU